rnacentral:rRNA from 1 species
UUUAGUAUGGUAGUAAAUAACUCUUGUAGAGGAUCUUAUGUUAAAAUGCGUAGAUAGAGAAAAACUUAGACACGAGUAAAUUUUAUGCUUGAUAGGUAUAUACAAGAAAGUAGAACUAUAAGAGUUAAUCUGACAUGAGAGUGUGGUUAAGUAAAUUAAUUAGGGAAUAGGAACUCGGCAAAUCUUAAGCUCGCCUGUUUAACAAAAACAUCGCCUUCAGAUUCAAUAUUGGAGGUCUGGUCUGCCCAGUGUAAUUAAUUAACGGCCGCGGUAUUCUGACUGUGCAAAGGUAGCAUAAUCACUUGCCCUUUAAAUGGGGGAAUGUAUGAAUGAUUAGACGAGGUUUUUACUGUCUCUUCCUUAUAAAUUGAGAUUACAAUACUUGUGAAAAUGCGGGUAAGGUAAUAAAGGACGAGAAGACCCUAUUGAGCUUUUAAGCUAAACUAUAGUACAGGUUAAGUUAAGUAAUAAUUUACAAUUAAAACGAGUAAUUUUUUGUAGGCUUUUUGGCUGGGGUGGCAAGCAAAGAUAUUAAGCUUUGUUGUAGUAUACAUUUUGUAUUUCUAGAUAAUAUGUAUCUAUAAAUAAUUAAAUUGAUCCGUUAAAAUAGAACGAUUAAAAGAAUAAGUUACCACAGGGAUAACAGCGUAAUUCUUUUUGAGAGCUCGAAUUGACAAAGGAGUUUGCGACCUCGAUGUUGGAUCAAGAUUCCUAGCGGUGUAGCAGCUGUUACGGGUUUGCCUGUUCGGCGAUUAAUAUCUUACGUGAUCUGAGU